AUGUGUCUAUAGUAAAUGUAAUGCAGGACUUCAUGAUUGUGAACAAACUUUAUCUAAGAUUGGAUAAAAUGGUAUUGAUCAAGUCGUAGGACUGGAUGUAGUUUGAUCAAGUCCUAGAACUGGAUGAAGUUUUGAUCAAGCCCUAGAACUGGAUGAAGUUUUGAUCAAGUCUUAGAACUGGAUGAAGUUUUGAUCAAGUCCUAGGACUAGAUGAAGUUUGAUCAAGUCCUAGGACUGGAUGAAGUUUGAUCAAGUCCUAGGACUGGAUGAAGUUUGAUCAAGUCUUAGGACUGGAUAAAGUUUGAUCAAGUCCUAGGACUGGAUAAAGUUUGAUAAGUCCUAUGACUGGAUGAAGUUUGAUCAAGUCCUAGG